UACGUAGGGGGCAAGCGUUGUCCGGAAUCAUUGGGCGUAAAGCGCGUGUAGGCGGCUGACUAAGUCCGCUCUGAAAGCCCGGGGCUCAACCCCGGGAGGCGGGUGGAUACUGGUCAGCUCGAGUCCGGAAGAGGAGUGUGGAAUUCCUGGUGUAGCGGUGAAAUGCGCAGAUAUCAGGAGGAACACCGGUGGCGAAGGCGGGUCUCUGGGCCGAUACUGACGCUGAGGAGCGAAAGCGUGGGGAGCGAACAGG
rnacentral:rRNA from 1 species